rnacentral:lncRNA from 13 species
AUGGGGGCUCCCACUGUACAUCUGGCACCCACUUCACAGAGACAGAGUCUCACUCUGUUGCCUAGGCUGGAGACCAGGGGAAUGAUCAUAGCUCACUGCAGCCUCGAACUCUUGGGCUCAAGGGAUCCUCCCACCUCAGCCUCCCAAGUAGCUGAAACUACAGGUAUGCACCAUGACACCUGGCUAAUUUAUUUUUUGUAAAGACAGGGUCUUACCCUCUUGCCCAGGCUGGAGUACCUCUGGCUCCUAAGGAGUGCUGUUUUUGGAUAUCUGAUAUGACUUGGCUCUCUGUCUCCACCCAAAUCUCACGUUCAAUUAUAAUCCCCAAUGUUGGAGGUGGCACCAGGUGGGAGGUGAUUGGACCAUCUCCUAGUGCUGCUCUCACGAUAAGAUCUAGUUGUUUAAAAGUGUAAUCCCAGCACUUUGGGAGGCCAAGGCAGAUGGAUCAUAAGGUCAGGAGUUUGAGACCAACCUGGCCAACAUGGUGGAACUCCAUCUCUACCAAAAAUAUAAAAAUUAGCUGGGCAUGGAGAUGCAUGCCUGUAAUACCAGCUACUUGGGAGGCCAAGGGAGAAUUGCUUGAAACCAGGAGGCAGAGGUUGCAUUGAGCCAAGAUCAUGCCACUGCAUUCCAGCCUGGGUAACAGAGCAAGACUCUGUCUUGGAAAAUAAAAAAUGUAUGUAGCACCUCCCUCCUCUCUCU